GAGGAUGAGGAUGAGGGCAAAGACACUUGUUGAUCAUGUGAUCAACCAAGGUUUGACCAUGAGAGAGGCUGGACUGAGAGUCCAGCCCAACUUGAGUCGAUUUACAGUGGUGUCCAUAAUUCAAACAUUCAGAAAUGAGAACAGUUCCUAUGCUGAACACAUACUGUGUUUGAGUUCUGUACAGAGUGGAAAGGCAAAGACAUCAUGGAGGACGAGGACGCUUGAUUACAGAUGUACAAGAGACUGCAAUUAUACAUAUGGUUUUGUCCAACAAUGCAAUUAGGAUUUGAGAGAUAGGAGAGCAUAUCUUGAAUAAUGACACCAUAUUUAACAACCUCAAUGCUGUAAGCCUGUCGACCAUACAACACAUCCUCCAACGGCACCGAGUGACGAUGAAACAACUUUACAAUGUGCCAAGAGAAACUCUGACAGUCAAGAAUAUGUGACAUGACUUUGUAGAGAGAGUAUUGGAGCUGGAUGCCCAUGUAAUUCGCCAUGAAUUCGCCAUUAAUUUAUUUAUGUGGAUGAGGUUGGCUUCAACCUCACCAAAACCAGGCGCCGCGGAAGAAAUGUAAUAGGACAGAGGGCAAUUACCAAUGUCCCUGGACAGCGUGGGGGUAAUGUAACCAUGUGUGCUGCCAUCACUCAAAACGGGGUCCUCCAUCACAAUGCCACACUGGGUCCGUACAACACCGGCCAUAUGCUCACUUUUCUGGAUGCAAUUUACACAAUGCUUGUCCCUGAUCCAGAUCAGGAGCCUGCUAGAUUUGUGGUUUUACCACCAAUUCUUGGCCCGCCCCCCCCCCCCCGGGACC